AGGGCCGUAGCUCAGCUGGGAGAGCACCUGCUUUGCAAGCAGGGGGUCGUCGGUUCGAUCCCGUCCGGCUCCA
rnacentral:tRNA from 1 species